CAGUCGCCGCGGGAAUACAGAGGGUGCAAGCGUUGUUCGGAAUUAUUGGGCGUAAAGCGCGUGUAGGCGGCGUGACAAGUCGGGUGUGAAAGCCCUCAGCUCAACUGAGGAAGCGCGCCCGAAACUGUCGUGCUUGAGUGCCGGAGAGGGUGGCGGAAUUCCCCAAGUAGAGGUGAAAUUCGUAGAUAUGGGGAGGAACACCGGUGGCGAAGGCGGCCACCUGGACGGUAACUGACGCUGAGACGCGAAAGCGUGGGGAGCAAACAGGAUUAGAUACCCCCGUAGUCCCUGUCUCUUAUAC
rnacentral:rRNA from 1 species